UUCAGAUGCCAUUACUUCAGAUCCAGCUUCCGCAUUCACUCAUCUCACCCACCUCUCUGAACUAACAUUCACUACCUUUAAUUUUUCUUUUCCCAGCCUUUAUAUCAAACACCAGUGGUUCAGUUCAUCAUAAUCUUACGCGUGAAAAAAUCUUUUGAGAGAAGAACCCAGCCCAGCGAAGACCCAGCACCACCGACAAGCCCAUCUCUCACCGGCACUGAAAUCGGUCAGUUCAUCAGCUCUGAACUCUACCCAUCUCUCACCGGUGCUGAAAUCGGCACACAUUUUACAGUCCAAGCCUAAAAUUUAUGGGAUCUUGGCCCAGUGAGCCCAGUACAAUAAAUUGAUAGAGAGUGGGUUGAAGAACUAGACCCUAAUGAAUUGGACAACGGCUAGUUGUCCUUCUACCCCCUACCGACCUCGAAUUAAAAGCCCUUCCAAAUCUAAAGAAGAAGAGGCCAGUUGAGGAUCUUAAGGAAGGAGAGGAGGCCCCUCAGAAGGGCGCUAAACAA